UACGAAGGGGGGCUAGCGUUGCUCGGAAUUACUGGGCGUAAAGCGCACGUAGGCGGCUUUCUAAGUCGGGGGUGAAAUCCUGGAGCUCAACUCCAGAACUGCCUUCGAUACUGGAAAGCUCGAGUCCGGGAGAGGUGAGUGGAACUCCUAGUGUAGAGGUGGAAUUCGUAGAUAUUAGGAAGAACACCAGUGGCGAAGGCGGCUCACUGGUCCGGUACUGACGCUGAGGUGCGAAAGCGUGGGGAGCAAACAGGG
rnacentral:rRNA from 1 species